ACAGCACAUAGUCCCGAUGCCAUACCCCGGUGCAGUCACGCCCACAGACACACCACACCGUUACACCUCCGCGGUUCUCACGCCCACUCGGGGCUGAGAUGCUGGGCUCCCAACACUCUGAGGUGCUGCAGUGCUUCCCUUCCCUCUCCCUCAACCCCGGGCCGCAACGCCUUUCCUACCGAUGGCCAGAACAAAUGUUCCGAGCCAGGACUGCUCACCUGGGGCACCGAACCCGUCUCACGGUGAUGCCCAGUGGAAGAGAGCGCGCGGCACCUCAACUAUUUGAGAAUCCUUGGAGAUUUGCUGGAGAGGGAUGACAAGUGGCCAUUCAUUGUGUUCAAGUUGUUACCACUUAAGACAAAGUUUACGGAAUGUCUACAAAGGAUCCUGACAGAUAGAGAAGAGGUAUAGACAUUACCCAGCACAUUUUCAGUUGAGUGGGGGAAUGGCCAUAUUAUUUUAAGUGAGGUUUUCAUUUUCAGCUGUGGGAAGAAUUAUGUAUGAUUAAUGGGAUGCCAUCUUAGAAACGCUGGCCAUUCAUUUGGCUGCCCAGUUCAUGUGUACCCUUGCUAUGGUGGGAAACAUCUGUCUUUAAGAAGCAGAGGCUGGGGGCUUUCCUGGUGGUGCAGUGGUUAAGAAUCCACCUGCCAAUGCAGGGGACACGGGUUUGAGCCCUGGUCCGGGAAGAUCCCACAUGCUGAGGAGCAACUAAGCCCGUGCGCCACAACUACUGAGCCUGUGCUCUAGAGCCCGCGAACCACAAGUACUGGAGCCCACCUGCCACAGCUACUGAAGCCCGCAUACCUAGAGUCCGUGCUCUGCCACAAGAGAAGCCACUGCAAUGAGAAGCCCGCGCACCGCAACAAAGAGUAGACGCCACUUGCCACAACUAGAGAAAGCCCACGCACAGCAACAAAGACCCAACACAGCCAAAAAUAAAUAAAUAAAUAAAUAAAUAAAUAAAUAUAUAUAUAUAUAUAUAUAUAUAUGUAAAAGCAGCAGAAGCUGAUCCUCACUAAUCUGAAAAUGUAUCUGUCUCCCCAGCAGCUAAUGCACAGGGAUGGAACCUAGGCUUCAGCACUCAAACACACUCCUCUCCAAACAGCAAGCUGAUAGUACAAAGGAACAAGGACUGUGGAAAUUCCAUCUGGGUGAUGGGUAACCCCAGGUACACAGGUGGCAGUAGCAGGAACAUCCAGAGCCCAGCACCCAUGGUGUCAGUAGUGUAAGUUGGGGAUUCUGUGUACAGCAGCAGCAGUGGUGAUCUCACCACACAAGCUCUAUGUCAUCAUUUGGAGCAUUGUUUCUGGUUCUGUAUCUUUGUUCUUCAGCACAUUACGAUUUUCCAUGAGCAACUCAAAACCAUUUGAAUGAAUUCUUUAUCCACUCAAUUUAAUAAAAUGUAAAACAUAUUGACUGUAAUUAAUGUGUUUUCAUUAAAAUUAGAAAUAAA